rnacentral:rRNA from 1 species
GUAGGUAUUUACCCUGGGGUCUGGGAUAGCGGCGGGAAACUGCCGGUAAUACCAGAUGAUAUCUCCGGAUCAAAGGUGUGAUUCCGCCCUAGGAGAAGCCUGCGGUCUAUUAGCUAGUUGGUAGGGUAACGGCCUACCAAGGCAAAGAUGGAUAUGGGGCGUGAGGGCGUGCCCCCACUCACUGGGACUGAGACACUGCCCAGACACCUACGGGUGGCUGCAGUCGAGAAUCUUCGGCAAUGGGCGCAAGCCUGACCGAGCGACGCCGCGUGCGGGAUGAAGGCCUUCGGGUUGUAAACCGCUGUCGAAGGGGAGGAAAUUGUAGUGGGUUCACCCAUUAUAUUGACCGAUCCUUGGAGGAAGGGCCGGCUAAUCUCGUGCCAGCAGCCGCGGUAAUACGAGAGGCCCAAACGUUAUUCGGAUUUACUGGGCUUAAAGAGUUCGUAGGCGGUUCGGUAAGUGAGGUGUGAAAGCCCUCGGCUCAACCGAGGAAUUGCGCUUCAAACUGCCGGGCUC